UGGUUAUUUUGGAGGUGGUGGAACUGGUUAUUUUGGAAGUGGUGGAACUGGUUAUUUUGAAGGUGGUGGAACUGGUUAUUUUGGAGGUGGUGUAACUGGUUAUUUUGGAGGUGGUGGAACUGGUUAUUUUGGAGGUGGUGGAACUGGUUAUUUUGGAGAUGGUGGAACUGGUUAUUUUGGAGGUGGUGGAACUGAUAAUUUUGGAGGUGUUGGAACUGGCUUUUUUGGAGGUGGUGGAACUAGUUAUUUUGGAGGUGGUGGAACUGGUUAUUUUGGAGGUGGUGGAAUUGGUUAUUUUGGAGGUGGUGGAACUGGUUAUUUUGGAGGUGGUGGAACUGGUUAUUUUGGAGGUGGUGGAACUGGUUAUUUUGGCGGUGGUGGAACUGGUUAUUUUGGAGGUGGUUGAACUGGUUAUUUUGGAGGUGAUGGAACUGGUUGUUUUGGCACUGGUUAUUUUGGCGGUGGUGGAACUGGUUAUUUUGGAGGUGGAAUAACUGGUUUUUUUGGCAGUGGUGGAACUGGUUAUUUUGGAUUUGGUGGAACUGGUUAUUUUGAAGGUGGUGG
rnacentral:lncRNA from 1 species